rnacentral:tRNA from 1 species
GGUUGUAGCUCAGUGAUAGAGCGCUUGUCUGGGAUGCAUGAGGCCCUAGGUUUGAUCCUCAGCACCA